AGUCUUUUUUCAAAUACGUUUUCGAAUUACAUAAUCCGGAAGUUAUUCUAUGGGGGUGACACAAGAAGAAUAAAAAUGUAUUUUCAUUUUGUGUAUGGAGGUGCCAGAAGAAGAUAUGGAGGUGCAGGAAGAAACAGUCGUGAGACAAACGCUAAAAAGGCAUCCACUGGGGAAAUUAACAUGAGUAUAUAUAUACACAUUUUAGUAGGAACACAUUAUGUUCAAACGGAAAAAAACAAAAUUGGGGCCAAAAUACAUUCCAUUCUG
rnacentral:lncRNA from 1 species